AAUUUGCCUUUAACUGGAGGAUAGCUUCGGGAAACCGUAAUUAAUACUCCAUAGUAUUCAAAAGACGCAUGUUUUUUGAAUUAAAGCUCCGGCGGUUAAAGAUAAGCAUGCGGGACAUUAGCUAGUUGGUAAGGUAACGGCUUACCAAGGCGACGAUGUCUAGGGGGUUUGAGAGGAUGAUCCCCCACACUGGUACUGAGACACGGACCAGACUCCUACGGGAGGCAGCAGUGAGGAAUAUUGGGCAAUGGGCGCAAGCCUGACCCAGCCAUGCCGCGUGCAGGAUGAAGGUCCUAUGGAUCGUAAACUGCUUUUGUAUGGGAAGAACUUCCCGCAUUCGUGCGGGAUUGACGGUACUAUACGAAUAAGGACCGGCUAACUCCGUGCCAGCAGCCGCGGUAAUACGGAGGGUCCAAGCGUUAUCCGGAUUCACUGGGUUUAAAGGGUGCGUAGGUGGAACGAUAAGUCGAUGGUGAAAGCCUACAGCUUAACUGUAGAAUUGCCAUUGAUACUGUUGUUCUUGAGUAUAGUCGGGGGAAGUGGAAUGCGUAAUGUAGCGGUGAAAUGCAUAGAUAUUACGCAGAACACCGAUCGCGAAAGCAGCUUCCUAGGCUAUUACUGACACUGAGGCACGAAAGCGUGGGGAGCGAACAGGAUUAGAUACCCUGGUAGUCCACGCCGUAAACGAUGCUCACUCGCUGUUGGCGAUAUAUUGUCAGCAGUUAAGCUAAAGCAUUAAGUGAGCCACCUGGGAAAGUACGUCCGCAUGGAUGAAACUCAAAGGAAUUGACGGGGGCCCGCACAACCGGUGGAACAUGUGGUUCAAUUCGAUGAUACGCGAGGAACCU
rnacentral:rRNA from 1 species